rnacentral:rRNA from 1 species
UACGAAGGGGGGCUAGCGUUGCUCGGAUUGACUGGGCGUAAAGGGCGCGUAGGCGGUUUGCACAGUCAGACGUGAAAUUCCUGGGCUUAACCUGGGGGCUGCGUUUGAUACGUGCAGGCUUGAGUUCGGAAGAGGGUCGUGGAAUUCCCAGUGUAGAGGUGAAAUUCGUAGAUAUUGGGAAGAACACCGGUGGCGAAGGCGGCUCACUGGCUCGUAACUGACGCUCAUGCACGACAGCGUGGGGAUCAAACAGG